rnacentral:sRNA from 1 species
UAUAGGUUCAGUAUCUUGCAUGUCUUC